rnacentral:other from 1 species
UUGGCCCUGCGGUUCUCGUGCUUGUCCUGAACAGCUUUGAGCCAACACCUACGUUCCGGGGGCCAGAGCCUGGCAGACAAGAUGAACUGGGGAUGAGAGUCCUGGGUUCACGCGGCUGACCAGCGCGGCACCCACCUGCUUCGGCAGGUUCAAAAGCUACAGGGACACACGGCUCUCGCGGGGCCUCU